GGGUUGUGAGGUUAAGCGACUAAGCGUACACGGUGGAUGCCCUGGCAGUCAGAGGCGAUGAAGGACGUGCUAAUCUGCGAAAAGCGUCGGUAAGGUGAUAUGAACCGUUAUAACCGGCGAUGUCCGAAUGGGGAAACCCAGUGCAAUUCGUUGCACUAUCGUUAACUGAAUACAUAGGUUAACGAGGCGAACCGGGGGAACUGAAACAUCUAAGUACCCCGAGGAAAAGAAAUCAACCGAGAUUCCCCCAGUAGCGGCGAGCGAACGGGGAGCAGCCCAGAGUCUGAAUCAGCUUGUGUGUUAGUGGAACGGUCUGGAAAGUCCGACGGUACAGGGUGAUAGUCCCGUACACCAAAAUGCACAGGCUGUGAACUCGAAGAGUAGGGCGGGACACGUGGUAUCCUGUCUGAAUAUGGGGGGACCAUCCUCCAAGGCUAAAUA
rnacentral:rRNA from 1 species